ACUCUCUGGGGAGAGGAUGCCCCAGCAUGGAAACGAAAAGGGAUAAUAAAGAAAGAAAAGAAGAAAAGUGUCACAGUGGAAAAGACCAAGCAGAUCAAGAGGAAUAAAAGACAAACCACAGACUGGGAGAAAAUAUUUGCAGAAGAUAUACACGACAAAGGACUCUUGUCUAAAAUAUACAAAGAACUCUUAAAACUCAACACAAACAAAAUAAACAAUUUGAUUAAAACUGAGCCAAGACUUUAACAGACACCUUACCAAAGACAUACAGAUGGCAAAGAAGCAUAA
rnacentral:lncRNA from 1 species